rnacentral:rRNA from 1 species
CCUUGAUGGCGACCGGCGCACGGGUGAGUAACGCGUAUGCAACCUGCCCGAUACCGGGGUAUAGCCCAUGGAAACGUGGAUUAACACCCCAUAGUACUUUUAUCCUGCAUGGGAUGUGAGUUAAAUGUUUAAGGUAUCGGAUGGGCAUACGUCCUAUUAGUUAGUUGGCGGGGUAACAGCCCACCAAGACGAUGAUAGGUAGGGGUUCUGAGAGGAAGGUCCCCCACAUUGGAACUGAGACACGGUCCAA